GGGAGGGGUAUGAGAGAGGACACCUUGGCUCACCUUAUCCCAGUAGCCCUGACUCCAGGGCAAGCUGGAAUGAAUUUUGUGGAGGUCAUAACAGUAUUCACCAUCUAUCCAAGACUGCUUCCCAGGUGGCGCUAAUCUUUAUAAAAAACCCGCCUGCUACUGCAGGAGAUUAAGAGACGUGAGUUCAAUCCCUGGGUCAGGAAGAUCCCCUGGAGAAGGACAUGGCAACCCACUCCAGUUUUCUUGCCUGGAGAAUCCCAUGGACAGAGGAACCUGGUGGGCUAUAGUCCAUGGGUUCGCAAAGAGUCAGACACGAGACUUAACACGUAGCAGGCAUCCAAGACUAAAACUAAUAAAAAUAAUUAAUAACAAUAAUUAUAAUGAUAGAAUCUGUUGAACACUUACUGUGUACCAGGCUGUAUGCUAAAUGCUUUAUGUGGAUAAUAUUAAUUACAUUAUAAAUCUUCAUUACAGACUUCAUGAGGUUGGUACUGAUAUUAUUCCUAUUUUACAGAUGGCAAAAAGAAGUUAAGGAACUAGUUUAAUGUUCCUCCUGUAUUAAAUGGAAGAAUUGGGAUUCAGUCUUAGGAUAUUGAACUCCUAAUCUAUGCUCUUAACCAUUUGAACAUCUACUAGGUACUUUGUUAAGCACUGGAGAUUCAGGAUUGAAAAAAAAAACAGACAAUUUUUUGUGUGUGGAUUUUCAGUCUAUAGGAGAAGUCAAACGUUAAAUAAAUAAGGACCCAGAUAAUUAGGGUAAUUCCAUCAUGAUACGGUCUAUGAGGAAAGCUAUGAGGAAGUACAACAGGAAAGCGGCUGUGCAACCUAGAUGCCCAUCAGCAGAUGAAUGGAUAAGGAAGCUGUGGUACAUAUACACCAUGGAAUAUUACUCAGCCAUUAAAAAGAAUUCAUUUGAACCAGUCCUAAUGAGAUGGAUGAAGCUGGAGCCCCUUAUACAGAGUGAAGUGGAGUAAGGCAGAAAGAUAAAGAACAUUACAGCAUACUAACACAUAUAUAUGGAAUUUAGAAAGAUGGUAAUGAUAACCCUAUAUGCAAAACAGAAAAAGAGACACAGAAAUACAGAACAGACUUUUGAACUCUGUGGGAGAAUGUGAGGGUGGGAUAUUUCAAAAGAACAGCGUGUAUACUAUCUAUGGUGAAACAGAUCACCAG